rnacentral:rRNA from 1 species
CACCAGACUCCUACGGGAGGCAGCAGUGGGGGAUAUUGCACAAUGGGGGGAACCCUGAUGCAGCGACGCCGCGUGGGUGAAGAAGCGCCUCGGCGCGUAAAGCCCUGUCAGCAGGGAAGAAAAUGACGGUACCUGAAGAAGAAGCCCCGGCUAACUACGUGCCAGCAGCCGCGGUAAUACGUAGGGGGCAAGCGUUAUCCGGAUUUACUGGGUGUAAAGGGAGCGUAGACGGCGAUGCAAGUCUGAAGUGAAAGGCGGGGGCCCAACCCCCGGACUGCUUUGGAAACUGUUAAGCUGGAGUACUGGAGAGGCAAGCGGAAUUCCUAGUGUAGCGGUGAAAUGCGUAGAUAUUAGGAGGAACACCAGUGGCGAAGGCGGCUUGCUGGACAGAGACUGACGUUGAGGCUCGAAAGCGUGGGGAGCAAACAGGAUUAGAUACCCUAGUC